UUCUGUAUCCCCUGCGCUGCCAGCUGCCCUGCGGCUGCCAGAGCGGCUCCUGGAAGCGUGGGUAUGGCUGGCAUGAAGUGGCAUCGACGCUGCUGGCAGGAGGGGGCUGCUCUUGCUGUAGCAGGGAAUAAAAUUCCCUGGCUGCAGCAGCAGCAAAGCUGAUCCUGUGGGCCUAUUUUGAUGGGGGGCCUGGAGCUGCAGCUCCACCCGCCCCAUUGUUAAUCCGGCCCACUACAUGUGAUUCUUUACCAAGUCGUUUUUAUCUGAGUGGUGGGAGCAUAGAAAGAAACCUUUUUGUGAACGCGAAGGGUGAACACUAAUGUACAGAUCAGAAAGCUACUCCUCUGGGCAACACUUUCCGAAAAGAAAAUUAACCACGGUUUCCUGUUUGACCGGUUGCCAUGCCGACGCCCCGGAGAUUAUGCGCACACCACUGUCCAGAAGUGCGGGUGGCUAUGACACUGGUGAUGUAUACGUUGUCGGCAGAGUCUACUCCUAUCACUAACAACAUCCCAGAGGCCGAUUGCUAGGCAAAACGCCGCCAGAGAGGAGGGUGAUGCAGAGUGAUGUCAUCGGAAACAGGAAGUGCCGCUGACCGGAAGUGCGGGCAGCUCCGGCUCGGGGACCUGUGACUCACGUGUGAGAUGGAGAAGUUAAUUCAGGAAGGU